ACUCUCUUCAGUAGCACGUACACUAAAAUCGGAAUGAUACCGGGAAGAUGCGCGUGGCCCCUGUACACGCAUGACACGCAAAUUUGUCUAGUGUUUUAUAGCUUU